rnacentral:rRNA from 1 species
AACGAACGCUGGCGGCAUGCCUAACACAUGCAAGUCGAACGAGACCUUCGGGUCUAGUGGCGCACGGGUGCGUAACGCGUGGGAACCUGCCCUUAGGUUCGGAAUAACUCCCCGAAAGGGGUGCUAAUACCGGAUAAUGUCUUCGGACCAAAGAUUUAUCGCCUUUGGAUGGGCCCGCGUUGGAUUAGCUAGUUGGUAGGGUAAAAGCCUACCAAGGCGACGAUCCAUAGCUGGUCUGAGAGGAUGAUCAGCCACACUGGGACUGAGACACGGCCCAGACUCCUACGGGAGGAAGAAGGGGGGAAUAUUGGAAAAGGGGAAAAAGCCUGAUCCAACAUUGCCGGGUGAGUGAUGAAGGCCUGAGGGUUGAAAAGCUUUUUUCCCCGGGUUGAUAAUGACAGACCCGGGAAAAUAAGCCCCGGCUACCCCCGUG